AAAAAAAAAAAAAAAAAAAACC
rnacentral:rRNA from 1 species